rnacentral:rRNA from 1 species
GAUGAACGCUGGCGGCGUGCCUAAUACAUGCAAGUCGAGCGAAUGGAUUAAGAGCUUGCUCUUAUGAAGUUAGCGGCGGACGGGUGAGUAACACGUGGGUAACCUGCCCAUAAGACUGGGAUAACUCCGGGAAACCGGGGCUAAUACCGGAUAACAUUUUGAACCGCAUGGUUCGAAAUUGAAAGGCGGCUUCGGCUGUCACUUAUGGAUGGACCCGCGUCGCAUUAGCUAGGUGGUGAGGUAACGGCUCACCAAGGCAACGAUGCGUAGCCGACCUGAGAGGGUGAUCGGCCACCCUGGGACUGAGACACGGCCCAGACUCCUACGGGAGGCAGCAGUAGGGAAUCUUCCGCAAUGGACGAAAGUCUGACGGAGCAACGCCGCGUGAGUGAUGGAGGCUUUCGGGUCGUAAAACUCUGUUGUUAGGGAAGAACAAGUGCUAGUUGAAUAAGCUGGCACCUUGACGGUACCUAACCAGAAAGCCACGGCUAACUACGUGCCAGCCGCCGCCGUAA